rnacentral:SRP_RNA from 1 species
UGUCGGUCCCCUCGCAACACGAUCGUCGUGAACCCCGUCAGGCCUGGAAGGGAGCAGCGGCAGCGACAAUCGGGUGUGCCGGGGUGUGGCUGGCAGGG